rnacentral:rRNA from 1 species
CCCUUAGAUGUUCUGGGCUGCACGCGCGCUACACUGACGCACGCAACAGGUGCCUGCUCCGAGAGGACUGGGUAAUCAUUUGAGUGUGCGUCGUGAUGGGGAUAGAAUAUUGUAAUUAUUACUCUUCAACGAGGAAUUCCUAGUAGACGUAGUUCAUCAGACUGCAUCGAUUACGUCCCUGCCCUUUGUACACACCGCCCGUCGCUCCUACCGAUUGAAUGCUCAGGUGAGCCAUUCGGACUUUCAUCAUGCUGGUUUCCAGUUUUGAUGAAGGAAAGUCUUGCGAACCUUAUCAUUUAGAGGAAGGAGAAGUCGUAACA